rnacentral:rRNA from 1 species
AUGGCCCUUUUUGAGGUGUCUGUUUUCGCAUUUGAGGACAUUUCUCAGCGGCAGAUGGCCUUUGGCCGGCCGCAAGACAGCGAGGGCAUUGACUGGUGGGCUAAGGGUUUGUACAUGGGUUUUGGUGAAUUCCCUUCCAAAACUCCCCCCGCGGACCUCUUCUCACAACAGGAGCUCCACAUCCACUCAAAAUUUGGUGGGGUGUCAUGCCCCUACGCGGAUCCUGCAUACAUUGGCUGCGGAGAAUCCAGGUAUUCGGUGGCUUGCUGCGUAGUCUCCUACUGGAUUGAUACCUUGGUUCUCAAAACUGAGGGAAAUACUUACACUCCUUUGCUGCAUCACCCUUUCCUCUUCAAGGGAAAAAACCAACGCAAGCUCAAGAGGUAG